ACGGGUAACGGGGAAUUAGGGUUCGAUUCCGGAGAGGGAGCCUGAGAAACGGCUACCACAUCUAAGGAAGGCAGCAGGCGCGCAAAUUACCCAAUCCUAAUACAGGGAGGUAGUGACAAGAAAUAACAAUACAGGACUUUUUGGUUUUGUAAUUGGAAUGAGUUGAGUAUAAACCCCUUUACAAGUAUCAAUUGGAGGGCAAGUCUGGUGCCAGCAGCCGCGGUAAUUCCAGCUCCAAUAGCGUAUAUUAAAGUUGUUGCAGUUAAAAAGCUCGUAGUUGGAUUUCUGUUAAUAAUUUAUAUAAAAUAUUUUGAUGAAUAUUUAUAUAAUAUUAACAUAAUUCAUAUUACUAUAUAUUUUAGUAUAUGAAAUUUUACUUUGAGAAAAUUAGAGUGCUUAAAGCAGGCAUAUGCCUUGAAUACUCCAGCAUGGAAUAAUAUUAAAGAUUUUUAUCUUUCUUAUUGGUUCUAAGAUAAGAAUAAUGAUUAAUAGGGACAGUUGGGGGCAUUUGUAUUUAA
rnacentral:rRNA from 1 species